AGUGUCCAGGGAUGGGAAUUGAACACACAGUGUUCUGCUUACCGGGCAGAUGCCAUGUCCACUAGGCUUUUCGC
rnacentral:tRNA from 1 species